GGACGUGGGGGCAUCACAGCUGCAACAUCUGUCACCCCCCUGACCACCAGGGUUGACUCGCUGGCCUGGCUGCCUGGGCAGGCGCCUCCUUCCUCCCCCCUCGCCCCACACGCCUCCCUCCCGAAGCCACGCGCUGGGUGGAAGGGGACGACCUUCCCCCGAGAGAGGAGGGCUGUUCUGCCAUAGGGACACCAGAGCAGCCGCGGUGUCCUGCUGGGACCUCCCGGCCAGCUCUUGAGGCCUGUCUGCAAGAGAACAUUCCGGAGAUUGUGGGGUAAUCAAGCUUCCAAGACUUCAGACACCACCAAAUGAGGCUCGGCCUAUGGCCGUCAGCCUUU
rnacentral:snRNA from 1 species